rnacentral:rRNA from 1 species
GACGAACGCUGGCGGCGUGCUUAACACAUGCAAGUCGAACGGAAAGGCCCUGCUUGCAGGGUACUCGAGUGGCGAACGGGUGAGUAACACGUGGGUGAUCUGCCCUGCACUUCGGGAUAAGCCUGGUAAACUGGGUCUAAUACCGGAUAGGAGCCAUUUUUAGUGUGAUGGUUGGAAAGUUUUUUCGGUGUAGGAUGAGCUCGCGGCCUAUCAGCUUGUUGGUGGGGUAAUGGCCUACCAAGGCGGCGACGGGUAGCCGGCCUGAGAGGGUGGACGGCCAGAUUGGGACUGAGCGAGGGGCCAGACUCCUACGGGAGGCAGAAGUGGGGAAUAUUGGACAAAGGGAGCAAGACUGAUGGAGCGAGGCCGCGUGGGGGAUGACGGCCUUUGGGUUGUAAACUCCUUUCGCUAGGGACGAAGCCUUUUGUGACGGUAACUAGAUAAGAAGAACCGGCUAACUACGUGC